UGGGGGAUAUUGCACAAUGGGCAAAAGCCUGAUGCAGCGACGCCGCGUGGGGGAUGAAGGCCUUCGGGUUGUAAACUUCUUUUGCUCUGAACAAGGCGCACCAUGGGGUGUGUUGAGUGUAGGGGUUGAUUAGCGCCGGCUAACUACGUGCCAGCAGCCGCGGUAAUACGUAGGGCGCGAGCGUUGUCCGGAAUUAUUGGGCGUAAAGGGCUUGUAGGUGGCUGGUUGCGUCUGUCGUGAAAGCUCAUGGCUUAACUGUGGGUUUGCGGUGGGUACGGGCUGGCUUGAGUGCAGUAGGGGAGGCUGGAAUUCCUGGUGUAGCGGUGGAAUGCGCAGAUAUCAGGAGGAAUACCGGUGGCGAAGGCGGGUCUCUGGGCUGUUACUGACACUGAGGAGCGAAAGCAUGGGGAGCGAACAGG
rnacentral:rRNA from 1 species